UACGAAGGGGGCGAGCGUUGUUCGGAAUUACUGGGCGUAAAGGGCGCGUAGGCGGCUAUUUAAGUCUGGGGUUUAAACCUUGGGCUCAACCUAAGGUCGCACUGGAAACUGGGUGGCUUGAGUACAGAAGAGGAAAGUGGAAUUCCACGUGUAGCGGUGAAAUGCGUAGAUAUGUGGAGGAACACCAGUGGCGAAGGCGACUUUCUGGGCUGUAACUGACGCUGAGGCGCGAAAGCGUGGGGAGCAAACAGG
rnacentral:rRNA from 1 species